rnacentral:rRNA from 1 species
GAUGAACGCUGGCGGCGUGCCUAAUACAUGCAAGUUGAGCGAACAGACGAGGAGCUUGCUCCUCUGACGUUAGCGGCGGACGGGUGAGUAACACGUGGAUAACCUACCUAUAAGACUGGGAUAACUUCGGGAAACCGGAGCUAAUACCGGAUAAUAUAUUGAACCGCAUGGUUCAAUAGUGAAAGACGGUUUUGCUGUCACUUAUAGAUGGAUCCGCGCCGCAUUAGCUAGUUGGUAAGGUAACGGCUUACCAAGGCAACGAUGCGUAGCCGACCUGAGAGGGUGAUCGGCCACACUGGAACUGAGACACGGUCCAGACUCCUACGGGAGGCAGCAGUAGGGAAUCUUCCGCAAUGGGCGAAAGCUUGACGGAGCAACGCCGCGUGAGUGAUGAAGGUCUUCGGAUCGUAAAACUCUGUUAUUAGGGAAGAACAAAUGUGUAAGUAACUAUGCACGUCUUGACGGUACCUAAUCAGAAAGCCACGGCUAACUACGUG